UGUUCUGUGGCUUAGUUGGUUAAAGCGCCGUUAUAGCGAAUACGGAGUCAUGGGUUUGAACCCCACCAGAACGU
rfam:Aedes albopictus isolate Foshan contig112092, whole genome shotgun sequence.